AGUGAACGCUGGCGGUAGGCCUAACACAUGCAAGUCGAACGGCAGCACAGUAAGAGCUUGCUCUUACGGGUGGCGAGUGGCGGACGGGUGAGGAAUACAUCGGAAUCUACUUUUUCGUGGGGGAUAACGUAGGGAAACUUACGCUAAUACCGCAUACGACCUACGGGUGAAAGCAGGGGAUCUUCGGACCUUGCGCGAUUGAAUGAGCCGAUGUCGGAUUAGCUAGUUGGCGGGGUAAAGGCCCACCAAGGCGAUGAUCCGUAGCUGGUCUGAGAGGAUGAUCAGCCACACUGGAACUGAGACAGGGACCAGACUCCUACGGGAGGCAGCAGUGGGGAAUAUUGGACAAUGGGCGCAAGCCUGAUACAGCAAUACCGCGUGGGUGAAGAAGGCCUUCGGGUUGUAAAGCCCUUUUGUUGGGAAAGAAAAGCAGCAGGUUAAUACCCCGCUGUUCUGACGGUACCCAAAGAAUAAGCACCGGCUAACUUCGUG
rnacentral:rRNA from 1 species